AUUGAACGCUGGCGGCAGGCCUAAAACAUGCAAGUCGAGCGGAGCGGCGGACGGGUGAGUAAUGCCUCGGAAUCUGCCUGGUAGUGGGGGAUAACGUCCGGAAACGGGCGCUAAUACCGCAUACUAUCAGAUGAGCCUAGGUCGGAUUAGCUAGUUGGUGGGGUAAAGGCCAACCAGGGGGACGAUCCGUAACUGGUCGGAGAGGAUGAUCAGUCAGCCUGGAACUGAGACACGGUCCAGACUCCUACGGGAGGCAGCAGUGGGGAAUAUUGGACAAUGGGCGAAAGCCUGAUCCAGCCAUGCCGCGUGUGUGAAGAAGGUCGUCGGAUUGUAAAGCACUUUAAGUUGGGAGCGUUACCAACAGAAUAGGCACCGGAUAAGUUCGUGCCAGCAGCCGCGGUAAUAC
rnacentral:rRNA from 1 species